CGUAGAUCAUCAUCAGUCCCGAUCUCCGCGAACGGUUUAGGAGUCCGUGAGAAGAAGAGGAAUACUGCUGCGGCAAUACCCUUGAAAAACCAAUAGGAUUGCAAGAACUUGGCGCUGAUUUGACGUGAUUUUUAGACCUGCGAAAUCGGACACUUGGCUACAACGAAGUUAUCAGAAAAUAUCCGAUGAUUCCGAAGCACUGGUGGUAUCACUCCGGAAUAUUUCUCUCUGUACGGAGAUAAUUAAAUUUUAAGGAAAUAUAAUUAAAUCGGCAAGUUGGGUUCUGCAGCUGGCUAAAUAGAGAAGUGACUGUAUGAAAGGAACAUAAAGAGGGAAUUCUUACAUC